CGCGAGAAACGGAUCCUCUCCAGAGCAACAAGGCCAUACGGGGUGCUUUGCAGGCGGCCGGCGACAGGAUCUUCCACGGCGAGACCUUCGGCGGCACAAGCGACUACUGAAUCGACAAGUGCUUGGAUCGGCAUCCCACGUUGCCGGCGACCAUAGAAGGAUGGACCAGAACUUUGGCGAGGAUGGAUCCCAAAGCAAUGUCUUGUUUGCUUCCGACCAGUGCACAUUUCAUUUUGAUACUAGUCCAUCAAAUUUCCAAGAUUUAAACAUGCACCAGUACAAUUUUGUGAGCCCACAUCAACCGAUGCUCACCUCGCCCUAGGUAGUCUCUGAAACAGUAUGGAGUCAACCAGAUGUUCAAGAAAUUCCUUGUCCCCCUGCAGCAUCCAAGAAGGGGAAGGACAAGAAGGUAUCUAGGAGGGGUUCGAACUUUACAACAGAAGAAGAUGCAGUGAUAUGCUCGGCGUGGUUGAAUGUGACCACAGAUGCUGCAAUUGGAUGCAAUCAAACCGAAGGCGGUUUCUACAAGUGCAUACAUACCUAUUUCAAGCAGAACAAACCGCAAGGAAGUGAACACAGCCAGAUUGCCAUUCAAGGUAGAUGGAAAUUGAUCCAAAAAGCAGUGAGCAAGUUCUGUGCCUUCAAGGCCAUUAUCGAUCGUCGCAACGAGAGUGGGAAGAAUGAGGCCGAUAGGCAGAUCGAGGAUGCAGUGAAGAUGUUUGAGGAUAAAGAACCGUUCCAUUUCAUGCAUUGUUGGAAGAUACUUAAGGAUCAAGCAAAGUGGAAUGACAAGCUUCUUGAGCAUAGCGGCGGGAAUGCAACAACAGAUGGGAACACAGUUGACUCUCAAGGGCAAAUGCCUUCAGGUAAUAACAAUGUGCCAG